rnacentral:rRNA from 1 species
UACGUAGGGUGCGAGCGUUGUCCGGAAUUAUUGGGCGUAAAGAGCUCGUAGGCGGUCUGUCGCGUCGGUCGUGAAAACUUGGGGCUUAACCCUGAGCUUGCGGUCGAUACGGGCAUGACUGGAGUUCGGCAGGGGAGACUGGAAUUCCUGGUGUAGCGGUGAAAUGCGCAGAUAUCAGGAGGAACACCGGUGGCGAAGGCGGGUCUCUGGGCAACAACUGACGCUGGAGGAGCGAAAGCGUGGGGAGCGAACAGGA